GUUCUUGCGGAGAAGUGGUUAACGCGACUGACUUCAAACCAGGAGAUCUCGGGUUCGAUUCCCGACGGGAACA